UCCCUGGGGGCUCAGUGGGUAAAGCAUCUGCCUGGGAUGCAGGAGACCCUGGUUUGAUCCCUGGGUCGGGAA
rnacentral:tRNA from 1 species